GGGAGGGACACACGUUAAUGGGAACAUGAAGAGGAGGCUCGGCAGGGCGGCUCCUCCUCGUCCUUUCCUCAGGCAGCUCCGUGAAUCAGCUUCCUGGCUAUGUGUGUGCGUGUGUAUUUGUAUUUAUCCAUUCUUGGCGUGUUCCUACUCCUUGUCUUUCUCCUUUGUAAGACUCGUGCAUAUGUUCCUUCGUUACAAGUGUGUUCCUUCUUCCUUUUAGUAGACUCAUGCAUAAGCUUCUUCCUUACUGCAAACUCUCCUCAGUGUUUGCAUGUAUCUUCAGAGCUAACGUUGUAGUCAGGUGUAGAUUGGAUUGUUUAAUGAUGUUCUUGCUGUUUUGAUCAUUCAUGCUUCUGUUUGUGUAUGUAUUUUCUUAAGAUUAACACAUCUAAGCAAAGAUGCCUGUGUGUGUGUGUGUGUGUGUGUGUGCGUGUGUGCGUGUAUGUGUGGCAGCAAUAAUCAAAGGACUGACUGUGGAGCCAUCGUGUGUGAAAGAAAAAAAAAGUUGGCGCGUCUUUUUGGGGAGCAUGAUGUGUAUAUGUAGAGUUUCUCGGUUUUAGUAAAGGUUUUGACAGUCGCUACACCACUUGGAGGAGUUGCCGUGCCUUGUGAGCCAUUGGGGACAUGGGGAAAGAUGGGGAACACAUAAUAGAAGACAAAAGGUAAGGGAACUCUAACAGGGAACAUAAAACUCUACGGGAACAUCAAGAACUAUUUCAUUUACAUCUGGGGAGUCCUCAAUGCACAUGCUAUCACUGUAAAAGACAAAUCUAAGGAGCCUUUGGAGAAUAAGGGGAAUAUAUGGACAAAGGAAAACAGAACAUAUUGUAUAAAACAGACUUAUUGUUCUAAACAGAGGGUGACAAUGAACAAGAACAAGGAUUCACUACGACUACAAAGACAUGAUACAGAUAAUAAAACACAGCCUACAGGAUGAAACUGACUGGACAGGAAUGGAUCGACAAUAUAAGGUAGAUAACACGUACAGGUAAACGAGGAUAUCUACGCUUUAAUGUGGGCAGUGAUGGAUCAGACGACGACACGACAUCGAUGAAGGGGAACAAAAAGAAUUUAUGGUUGCAUUUGGAACCGAGAUAUAAGUACAAGGGAGUGCACAUGGGGUUCAACCGUACUUUUGGAAGGUUCGGAUACACUUUUCGUGGGACUCAACUGGUUUUGGAUGCGUUCGACUACAGUAUUUAAGGGACUCAAUCGUGCUUCUAUAAGGUUCAGCUACACUUUUGGCGGGAUUCAACUGGUUUUGGAUGGGUUCGACUACAGUAUUUAAGGGACUCAAUCGUGCUUCUAUAAGGUUCAGCUGCACUUUUGGCGGGAUUCAACUGGUUUUGGAUGCGUUCGACUACAGUAUUUAAGGGACUCAAUCGUGCUUCUAUAAGGUUCAGCUGCACUUUUGGCGGGAUUCAACUGGUUUUGGAUGCGUUCGACUACAGUAUUUAAGGGACUCAAUCGUGCUUCUAUAAGGUUCAGGUGCACUUUUGGCGGGAUUCAACUGGUUUUGGAUGGGUUCGACUACAGUAUUUAAGGGACUCAAUCGUGCUUCUAUAAGGUUCAGCUACACUUUUCGUGGAACUCUACUGGUUUUGGAUGGGUUCGACUUCAGUGUUUAAGGGACCCAAUCGUACUUCUAUAAGGUUCAGCUACACUUUUGGUGGGAUUCAUAUGUUUUUUGGAAGGGUUCAACUACUAUAUUCGUGCUUUUGGAAUGAUCAUCUACUAAUUUUCAACUACUUUUCUACUAAUUUUUUUUUUCUUCAUUUUUCGUACUUUUGGAACGUUCAUCUUAACUUCUCAUGGAAUGGAUUCAUGCACAUUAAAAUAAUCAGCCUUGCUUCACCUCUUUUGUUUCCAUGCUUUGAGGGACGAGAAAUUCCUGAUACCUCCUUGUUUUAUUUUUUUUUACAACAAAGGAGACAGCUCAAGGGCACAAAAAAGGAAACAAUAAUAAAAAAAAAGCCCGCUACUCGCUGCUCCUAAAAAAAAAUAAAAAAAUAAAAAGAGGUGGCCGAAAGAGAGGUCAAUUUUUCGAAUGAACAUAUUUAGUAGGCAUCUUUGACAGGAUCUAGUGUGUCCUUUAGAACUUUGUCACAUACGUUAGGGGAUCAAAUAUGUUCUUUCUAAUUGGCUUUGAUCUAAUGCUCUAAGUAUCUAAGACUAAUAAUUCAAUUUUAAGGUAGAUUUUCAUGCAACGCUUCAUUUUUUUACAGUUUUUUGGGUAAGAAUCCUUUAUGCAUGUAGGAAUGUUUUGGUAAAUUUCCUUUAAAAACUAAGAAUCACGACUACUACGCAUUUCCAGUGAAUUUGAUGAUAGAUUUUAACGACAAACCAGGAGUAGGUCACUGCCAAAAUGAAAAAGAUUCACGUAUCUCCUAUAUCUAUUUUAUAUUUGAUUUAAAUUUGUGGUAUUUCAAUUCAAUUUUACAAGCCUUAUUCAAUCCAUUGCCUGUGUUCUCUGGAAAUAAAAUAUAAUCAUCAAAUCAACUAACGCUAGCAAGAAGGGGCAGGAGGGUGAUUAUCAAGAGAAAAAUAAGCGAGAGAAGGAGGAAAAAAUGGUAAAGGAACACGAUAAGAAAAGGGAACAGGGAGAGAAGGAGAGUAAGAAGAGAACAGAAGAAGGGCGAACUAGGAUACACAGGAGCCCAAUGAAAAAGGUGAGAGGAGUAGACGAAAUGGAGAUGAAAGUAAUGAAAAAGGAAGGAUAAAUAAGGGCGCAAUGAAAAGAUGAGAAGGGAAGACGAAAUGGAGAUAAAAGUAAAGGAAAACGAAGCGAAGAGGGGGACGGGAAGGCAAUGAGAGAAGACAUAGACGGAAUGGAGACGAAAGUAAUGAAAACAAAAAAUUAAAGGAGGACGAAGAGGCAAAAGGAGAAGAAGAAAUGAAGAUAAAAAGUAAUGGAAAACGAAGCGAAGAGGGGGACGGGAAGGCAAUGAGAGAAGACAUAGACGGAAUGGAGACGAAAGUAAUGAAGAAAAAAUUAAAGGAGGACGAAGAGGCAAAAGGAGAAGGAGAAAUGGACAUAAAAGUAAUGGGAAGCGAAGAGGGGGACGGGAAGGCAG